GAAUUGCGAUAAGUAAUGUGAAUUGCAGAUUUCCAGUGAAUCAUCGAAUCUUUGAACGCACCUUGCGCUCCUUGGUAUUCCGAGGAGCAUGCCUGUUUGAGUGUCAUGUAACUAUCAACCAUGUCUCGAUUGACUUUUGAGCACAUGGCUUGGAUGUGGGGGUUGCUGGCUGCGAAAGCGGUCAGCUCUCCUUAAACGCAUUAGCAAAGGGGUGUGCUAUGGUCUUCUGGACGUGCACGGCCUUUGACGUGAUAAUGAUCGUCGUGGCUGGAGCGUCCGUCAUAGACCAUGCAUAGACAAGCCUCGAUUUGCUUCUAAUUCCAAGAUCCUCUAAUCUCAGUGGUGGUCGGGAGGUCUUGCUAGCUAUUAGUCUACUAGCCUACUAGCCUACUAGUCCGUGUGCAUGCAUAUGGACGAACGGCGAACAGUGAACGGCGAACGUUGACAAGGCUGACGACGACAAAGCUAGACUUGGGGAUCGUAUUCAUUGACUCGACCUCAAAUCA
rnacentral:rRNA from 1 species